UACGAAGGGGGCUAGCGUUGUUCGGAAUUACUGGGCGUAAAGCGCACGUAGGCGGGUCGUUAAGUCAGGGGUGAAAUCCCGGAGCUCAACUCCGGAACUGCCUUUGAUACUGGCGAUCUUGAGAUCGGAAGAGGUGAGUGGAAUUCCCAGUGUAGAGGUGAAAUUCGUAGAUAUUGGGAAGAACACCAGUGGCGAAGGCGGCUCACUGGUCCGAUACUGACGCUGAGGUGCGAAAGCCAGGGGAGCAAACGGG
rnacentral:rRNA from 1 species